GCUUUCGUAGUGUAGUGGUCAGCACGUUCGACGUGAAUUAGAGAGGUCCUUGGUUCGAGUCCCGGCGAGAGCA
rnacentral:tRNA from 1 species